rnacentral:rRNA from 1 species
GACGUAGGGGACGAGCGUUGUCCGGAUUCAUUGGGCGUAAAGCGCGCGUAGGCGGCCACGCAAGUCGGGUGUGAAAUCCCGGAGCUCAGCUCCGGAACUGCACUCGAAACUGCGCGGCUUGAGGUAGGUAGGGGAGAUCGGAAUUCCUGGUGUAGCGGUGGAAUGCGCAGAUAUCAGGAGGAACACCCGUGGCGAAGGCGGCUCUCUGGAACGCAACUGACGCUGAGACGCGAAAGCGUGGGGAGCAAACAGG